GAUGAACGCUAGCGGCAGGCUUAAUACAUGCAAGUCGAGGGACAGCACAGGUAGCAAUACUGGGUGGUAACCGGCAAACGGGUGCGGAACACGUACACAACCUUCCUUUAAGUGGGGGAUAGCCCAGAGAAAUCUGGAUUAAUACCCCGUAAUAUAGUUGAGUGGCAUCAUUUGAUUAUUAUAGCUACGGCGCUUAAUGAUGGGUGUGCGGCUGAUUAGAUAGUUGGCGGGAUAACGGCCCACCAAGUCUACGAUCAGUAGCUGAUGUGAGAGAAUGAUCAGCCACACGGGCACUGAGACACGGGCCCGACUCCUACGGGAGGCAGCAGUAAGGAAUAUUGGUCAAUGGACGCAAGUCUGAACCAGCCAUGCCGCGUGAAGGGUUAAGGUCCUCUGGAUUGUAAACUUCUUUUAUUUGGGACGAAAAAGGGCCUUUCUAGGUCAACUGACGGUACCAGAUGAAUAAGCACCGGCUAACUCCGUGCCAGCCGCCGCCGUAAAAC
rnacentral:rRNA from 1 species